rnacentral:rRNA from 1 species
GGCCGAACGCUGGCGGCGUGCUUAACACAUGCAAGUCGAACGGUGAAGCGCCUUCCUUUUUGGUGGGUGUGGAUGAGUGGCGAACGGGUGAGUAACACGUGAGUAACCUGCCCCCUUCUUCUGGAUAACCGCAUGAAAGUGUGGCUAAUACGGGAUAUUCUGGGUCUGUCGCAUGAUGGGUCUGGGAAAGAUAUUGUUUCGGUGGGGGAUGGGCUCGCGGCCUAUCAGCUUGUUGGUGGGGUGAUGGCCUACCAAGGCGGUGACGGGUAGCCGGCCUGAGAGGGUGGACGGUCACACUGGGACUGAGACACGGCCCAGACUCCUACGCGAGGCAGCAGUGGGGAAUAUUGCACAAUGGGCGCAAGCCUGAUGCAGCGACGCCGCGUGAGGGAUGGAGGCCUUCGGGUUGUGAACCUCUUUCGCCAGUGAAGCAGGCCUGCCUCGUUUGUGGGUGGGUUGACGGUAGCUGGAUAAGAAGCGCCGGCUAACUACGUG